AUCAUUUCUCAGCCUUUUGGCUAAGAUCAAGUGUAGUACCUGUUCUUAUCAGUUUAAAAAGAAAGAAAAUACAUAUGUUACUUUGCUUUGAAAUGGAGUUUAUGGACAUUCA
rnacentral:snRNA from 1 species